UUUUGCCGUGCUUACCCUGCUGAUCAAUUAUUUACCGUAACUUGAAUACGUUGCUUCGAAUUACGUCUAAUUUUAAAUACUUGCUAAAAAAAAAGAAAACAUGCCUAAUAAGAGGCGGCAGAAUAGAAGUCGGUCGCGAAAUCGCAGAUCGCAUUCUAGCCAACAUGAUUCGCGCUACAGACGACGUAGCCCUUCUAGCAAUAUUUUAACCGAAACAAUGCAACAAAUUUUAAAUAGAUUGGUGUCAUUAGAGGAACAACAGAUAGUGUCUUCAUCUCAUCGGAAGGAGCAAAGUGGCCGCGCCACAGUGGAAGUGGCCAGGUCCGCGGUGCCUGUGACAUUCAUCAGCACCGAGCCCGUUCCUGCCUUUGAGCCUGCCGUGUCGAUGCCGCCGCCGUCGCAGUUAAGCGAAGCUAUGACUGCUAGGUCGCUUCAAGGGCGCGCAAGGCGGAUGGCUUCAACGACUCCGUCCUCACUGGAGCGUCCCGCGAGCGCUACGCCAGGCCAGCGCCGCCGAUCGCAUCAUCGAUGCGAUACGAUCCAUAAAUAUACCGGUGUGAAACAAUUAAAAAGCAGUACAAAACAUAACCUAUGGAUUCACAGAAAUAGAAUUUGAAUAGAAUAAAAUUUUACAUUCUAUUCAUAUUUAAAAGAACUAAAUGUCAAACUAGAAAUUACGACCUUUUGCUGAUUUGCUGAAAAGUAAAUUUACAACAAAAAUUGAUGAAAAUAACAUAAAAAUGAAUGAUUGCACCUCUUCAAGUUCUACAGAAUUAUUAAAUGAAGGAAUCUGCUUCAGAAUUACUGACUGCAUGUCGCUGCAACAUCUGUGCUACAAAGUUUGAUUGUUUGAAAUAUUGUAAUUCUAAAUUAAAUUUUGAAAAAUAACUUUUUAUAUGGAGUAGUUAAACCACAAAUCUAAAAAAGAGUCACCAUGGUGCAGGAAAUGCUAGAAAAGUUUGGAUUAGGGGACUAUUUGGAGAGUCUGCAGUGCAGUUGGCGCUUGACCGGAUCAUAUUUUACAUAUCCAGGUAUGAUCUCCGCUAUAUAGUAAUGCGUUCUUCGAAUUUCUUGAUAACAUCCAUCCGACAUUCUUACUGUAAUUACAAAUUGCAUACAACUGCAUAGAAAUUCAAAGAUAUGUGUGAAGUCAACCAACCCUCACUGGCUCUGCGUUGUUGAAUAAAACCUAGUCGCAUUCUUGAGGGUAGGCUCAGAGCUCCUCAGUAAAGUAUAGUGUCUGCGUAUAGUGAGCUUGAUGAUGACGAUUUGUUUUGCUUCAAUGCAUAUUGUCUUGUUAGCAAUUUUCUAAAUGUUUUACCAACAGAUAGGAGCUAAUCUCUUUCCAGUGUUAUUCUAUUUCUCCCGACGAGAGUGACGCUACUACUCCAGUUCUAUCAGAAAAUAUGACCUAUCAAAUAAACAAACUGGAACAAAUAAGCAUUAUCAAAGUUGGGGUAUUUUGUUGGUGAACUAAA